rnacentral:lncRNA from 1 species
GUGCCAAUCUUUAAAUAAAGAAAUAAUAAAAAAGAAAAUGGUCCGUAAGGCUUAGACUCGGAGGAGACUGCUGGAGUCUUUAUCUAAAAGCCCCUUUUCCACUUCAGCAGUCAUCACAGUUUGUUUCUCUUUCCCUAGAAGGUAUCUCACACCACGUAAAGGGCAUGGAUUCUUUUCCAAUUAUUUCAGUAAAAAGUACAAUGAAUGAAUACAAGUACACACACAUACACUUUAAAUCAACCAUGUCUAGAGACUUCUAGAGCAAGUGUCAGGAAAAAGAUUUUGUCAGGCAUAGGGAAGAGACCCAGAACAGGUGUGGUCCAUGCCGAUGUGGCCUGAGGAGAAAUGCCACAGAUGGGGGGAUGGGACAGAAGGCAGUGAACACCUCCAGCGCAGGGAAGGACAGAGGUAUCUGAAGACCAGAAGGAAGAUGCCGAUUGAUGCAGAUGAGCACAGCAUGACCUUGAGAGCUACGUUUAAAAGGACAGAGCCAUGACAGGGAGGAGCCUGGAUCACCACUUAGAGGAGAGAAGGGAGCUCAGCAGGAGCACCCAGGAACAAGAAUAGAUGUCUCUGGAUUAUAAUAUUCAGAAGCAGGAGAGGAUUCUUUUAUUGGAUCAUAUGUCAUGAUUGUGGGCUCAGAAAACCAGGCCUGUGGGAAUUAUGGAGCCUUUGAUGGUUUGCCCCAAGCUUCUGUCUUUGAAUAAAGGAACCCACAUUUCACAGCCUAGAGGUUGAGAGAAGACCCCCAUACUGCACCCCAGGCCUCUCCCCAACCUCAUUCUCCAAAAAACCCAGCCAGACCUUGCUCACCUCAUAAAAGCUGAUGAAAGACAGACACCUCUCACUGGUGACAUUUUGUAUUUUAUCUUAACUGAAGAAUUUUUCAGUGAAAAUGGAUUUAUCUCCCUACUAAUUUUGGAAAGUCACCAGGAAAUAAAACGUUGAUUACCUGAAC